AAAGAAACCAACAGGGAUUGCCUCAGUAACGGCGAGUGAAGCGGCAACAGCUCAAAUUUGAAAUCUGGCCGCAAGGCCCGAGUUGUAAUUUGCAGAGGAUGCUUUUGGCGAGGUGCCUUCCGAGUUCCCUGGAACGGGACGCCAUAGAGGGUGAGAGCCCCGUACGGUUGGACCACCGAGCCUCUGUAAAGCUCCUUCGACGAGUCGAGUAGUUUGGGAAUGCUGCUCUAAAUGGGAGGUGUACGUCUUCUAAAGCUAAAUACCGGCCAGAGACCGAUAGCGCACAAGUAGAGUGAUCGAAAGAUGAAAAGCACUUUGAAAAGAGGGUUAAAAAGUACGUGAAAUUGUUGAAAGGGAAGCGUUUAUGACCAGACUUGGGCUUGGUUGAACAUCCGGCGUUCUCGCCGGUGCACUCUGCCAGCCCAGGCCAGCAUCAGUUCGCCCCGGGGGACAAAGGCGGCGGGAAUGUGGCUCCUCCGGGAGUGUUAUAGCCCGCUGCGCAAUGCCCUGGGGUGGACUGAGGAACGCGCUUCGGCACGGAUGCUGGCGUAAUGGUCAUCAACGACCCGUCUUGAAACACGGACCAAGGAGUCGUCUUCGUAUGCGAGUGUUCGGGUGUCAAACCCCUACGCGUAAUGAAAGUGAACGUAGGUGAGAGCUUCGGCGCAUCACCGACCGAUCCUGAUGUUCUCGGAUGGAUUUGAGUAAGAGCAUACGGGGCCGGACCCGAAAGAAGGUGAACUAUGCCUGUAUAGGGUGAAGCCAGAGGAAACUCUGGUGGAGGCUCGCAGCGGUUCUGACGUGCAAAUCGAUCGUCAAAUAUGGGCAUGGGGGCGAAAGACUAAUCGAACCUUCUAGUAGCUGGUUUCCGCCGAAGUUUCCCUCAGGA
rnacentral:rRNA from 1 species